rnacentral:rRNA from 1 species
UACGGGGGGGGCAAGCGUUGUUCGGAAUUACUGGGCGUAAAGGGCGUGUAGGUGGCCAACUAAGUCAGACGUGAAAUCCCACGGCUCAACCGUGGAAGUGCGCACGAAACUGCGUAGCUAGAGUCCUGGAGAGGAAGGUGGAAUGCUUGGUGUAGAGGUGAAAUUCGUAGAUAUCAAGCGGAACACCGGUGGCGAAGGCGGCCUUCUGGACAGUGACUGACGCUGAGACGCGAAAGCGUGGGGAGCAAACAGG